rnacentral:rRNA from 1 species
ACCUGCCGGCCGCGGUAUAUUGACCGUGCGAAGGUAGCAUAAUCAUUAGUCUUUUAAUUGAAGGCUGGAAUGAAUGGUUGAACAAAAAAUAUCCUGUCUUAAAAUUUGACUUUUAAGUAAAAAGGCUUAAAUAAUAUAGAAUGACGAUAAGACCCUAUAAAGCUUUUAUGUUGGGGCGACAAAAAGUGAUCCUUUAGUAAAGAUUAAAAGAUUAAGUUACUUUAGGGAUAACAGCGUAAUCUUUUUUAAGAGUUCAUAUCGACAAAAAGACUUGCGACCUCGAUGUUGAAUUAAGAAGUCCUUUUGGUGUAGCAGUUAAAAAGGAAGGUCUGUUCGACCUUUAAAUUCUU